rnacentral:rRNA from 1 species
UACGGAGGGUGCAAGCGUUAUCCGGAUUCACUGGGUUUAAAGGGUGUGUAGGCGGGCUAUUAAGUCAGUGGUGAAAUCUCCGGGCUCAACCCGGAAACUGCCAUUGAUACUAUUAGUCUUGAAUUCUGUUGAGGUAGGCGGAAUAUAUCAUGUAGCGGUGAAAUGCAUAGAUAUGAUAUAGAACACCGAUUGCGAAGGCAGCUUACUAAGCAGAUAUUGACGCUGAGGCACGAAAGCGUGGGGAGCAAACAGG